GGCUGGUCCAGUUGGCGGUGUUCACAACUAAUUGAUCACAACGAGCUACAGAUUCCUCUGUUCCUUCCCCACUCCUACUGCUUCAUUUGACUAGCCUAAC
rnacentral:Y_RNA from 1 species